UACAGGGGGGGGCUAGCGUUACUUAACGUUACUUGGCGUAAAGGGCACGUAGACGAUUUUUGUUAGUUAAGUUUGAAAUGCUUGUUUGACAAGCCUAGGACUUAAAACUAAAAAUUAGAGUUUAUUAGGGGAUAGUGGAAUUUCUAAUGUAGUGGUACAAUACGGCGAUAUUAGGAGGAAUGUUCGCGGUGAACACGACUAUCUAGUUUAAACUGACGUUUCAGGUGCGAAGGUAUGGGGAUCAAGCGGG
rnacentral:rRNA from 1 species